rnacentral:rRNA from 1 species
AACGAACGCUGGCGGCAGGCCUAACACAUGCAAGUCGAACGCCGUAGCAAUACGGAGUGGCAGACGGGUGAGUAACACGUGGGAACGUACCCUCGGUUCGGAAUAACUCAGGGAAACGUUGAGCUAAUACCGGAUACGUCCGAGAGGAGAAAGAUUAUCGCCGAGGGAUCGGCCCGCGUCUGAUAGUCUUGUUGGUGAGGUAAAGGCUCACCAAGGCUACGAUCAGUAGCUGGUCNGAGAGGAUGAUCAGCCACACUGGGA